rnacentral:misc_RNA from 1 species
AGCAUUUGCAAUGGAGGAGGAGGGGCAUCAGCCGUUGUGCUUGAGCUCAUGUCAGUUGCGAGGGUGGGACCUUCUUUGUUAUGAACAAAUUGGUUACUGUAACAUCAGCAUACUGUUUGGCAAUUUCAUCAUUUUCUUUUUUUAUAUUACCUUCCCUUAAUAAAGGAAGAUGCAGCAUGCUGCACUAGGGUAUGUAGGAGAAGGGAUCUAACUGAUGAUUAUUAAAAUAAAUGCUCAAGCAGUACAACUUAUCAGAAGGUUUGGAUGAAGAAUAUGUCUACGACAAGAACAGCUACACUACAAUAAUGGACUUGGGUACUUUCAUAUCUCCCACAACAGAUAAAGAGAAAGGAAAUGUGCAUGAAUUGCCACUUCCUGAACAUCUUAAUAUGUGCAUGAAUUGCCACUUCCUGAACAUCUUAAUUACUGGCUAUUACAGUUUAGAAACAAUUUAUUUUUCCCGAGUCCUGCAUGAUAUGGUAGUCUCGACAGGUUUGAACAAGAGGUGGAGGUUCCGAUUUUCUCAAGGGCGAGGCCCCCUCCAAAAAUUUUAAAAUUUUAUGAAUAUAUAAUAUACUAUAAUUAUUAUUAUUUUUUAUUAGUAAAUUUUCAUUGGUUGGCUCCCCUA